UCUCGAUUGGUCUAGUGGUAAGGAUACCUGCUUGUCAUGAGUCAAUUCGCAGGUGGCCGGGGUUCGAUUCCCCGAUCGAGAG
rnacentral:tRNA from 1 species